rnacentral:pre_miRNA from 8 species
UCUACUGACAGAGAAGCUUUUUGUUUGUGUUAUGUUUAUUUUCAAAUGUAAGACGAACAAAAAGUUUUUCUGUUAGUAG